rnacentral:rRNA from 1 species
AGAGUUUGAUCCUGGCUCAGGACGAACGCUGGCGGCGUGCCUAAUACAUGCAAGUCGAGCGCAGGAAGUUAUCAGAUCCUCUUCGGAGGUGACGAUAAUGGAAUGAGCGGCGGACGGGUGAGUAACACGUAGGCAACCUGCCUGUAAGACUGGGAUAACUCGUGGAAACGCGAGCUAAUACCGGAUAACACUUUUCAUCUCCUGAUGAGAAGUUGAAAGGCGGCUUUUGCUGUCACUUACAGAUGGGCCUGCGGCGCAUUAGCUAGUUGGUAAGGUAACGGCUUACCAAGGCGACGAUGCGUAGCCGACCUGAGAGGGUGAUCGGCCACACUGGGACUGAGACACGGCCCAGACUCCUACGGGAGGCAGCAGUAGGGAAUCUUCCGCAAUGGACGAAAGUCUGACGGAGCAACGCCGCGUGAGUGAUGAAGGUUUUCGGAUCGUAAAACUCUGUUGUUAGGGAAGAACAAGUACUAUAGUAACUGAUAGUACCUUGACGG